UGCGUAGGUGGAUAAUUAAGUCAGAGGUGAAAUCCUGCAGCUCAACUGUAGAAUUGCCUUUGAUACUGGUUAUCUUGAGUCAUUAUGAAGUGGUUAGAAUGUGUAGUGUAGCGGUGAAAUGCAUAGAUAUUACACAGAAUACCGAUUGCGAAGGCAGAUCACUAAUAAUGUACUGACACUGAGGGACGAAAGCGUGGGGAGCGAACAGGAUUAGAUACCCUGGUAGUCC
rnacentral:rRNA from 1 species